UUAAAAAAAAAAAAAAAAAAAAAAAGGGUUGUGUUGAUUUUAAAACCCUGGGACCUGUAGAGACUUAGUGGAUAAGAGCAACUCUUGCCCUUGCAAAGAACUCAGGUUGGAUACCCACAGGUAGUGGGUCACAACCAUGUGACUCCAAUUUCAGAAGAUCUAGUACUCUCUUCUGCCUCCUCAGGCACCAGUUGUACAAGUGGUACUCACAUAUGCAUACGACAUUUUAAAGAAGGAUAUAUAUGUAUACACACGCGCGCGCGCAUAAUUUUGCUUGGCCUGAAACUUACAAUGUAGACCAUACUGGUCUGAAAUUCACAAAGACCCUCCUGUUUUUGCCUACCUAAUGCUGGUGCUAAAGGUGUAUGCUAUCACACCCUACUUAAAUAAACCUUUUUUAAAAAAUGAAUUUAAAUGGGGCUGGAGAGAUGGCUUAGUGGUUAAGAGCACUGACUGCUCUUCCAGACAUUCUGAGUUCAAUUCCCUGCAAUCACAUGAUGGCUCACAACCAUCUGUAAUAGGAUCUGAUGCCCUCUUCUGGUGUGUCUGAACAGCUACAGUGUACUCACAUAUAUAAAAUAAAUAAAUAAUUCUUUUUAAAAAAAUUAGUUAAAAUGUAGCUGAAUAGGUAGCACAUAAGUUAAGAGCACUAGAUACAACUGCAGAGGAUCUGAGUUCAAUUCCUAGCAUCAGCUCACAGCUGUCUACAACUUCAGUUCCAGGGAAUCCAGUGCGCUUUUCUGGCCUCUGGUCCCCAGCAUGUAGUACACAGACAUACACACAAGGAAAACAUCUAUACAUGUAAGAAUUUAAAAAUAAAUAAAAUAAAAAUAUAUACAUUAUAUAAAUAAAAUUAUAUGCAUAUAUAUACACAUAUACAUAUUCCACAAGUAAAAUCUUCCCAUCUGUAUAGUAAACACUCCAAGUGGAGGGAUUUUAGUAUUAGUUGUGUUGGCCACAAGGCAGCAUGUUCCCCAGGAUACUUAUGAAUGCCACCUAAAACAAAUCUUAAAUCUUACUUAAAAUGAUGAGGUGAAGGUUUUGCAAUUUAUUUUUAGUAGCUCUGUCUUAGUCAGGGUUUCUAUUCCUGCACAAACAUCAUGACCAAGAAGUAGUUGGGGAGGAAAGAGUUUAUUCAGCUUACACUUCCAUACUGCUGUUCAUCACCAAGGAAGUCAGGACUGGAACUCAAGCAGGUCAGGAAGCAGGAGCUGAUGCAGAGGCCAUGGAGGGAUGUUCUUUACUAGCUUGCUUCCCCUGGCUUGCUCAGCCUGCUCUCUUAUAGAACCCAAGACUGCCAGCCCAGAGAUGGUCCCACCCACAAGGGGCCUUUCCCCCUUGAUCACUAAUUGAGAAAAUACCCCACAGCUUGAUCUAACGGAGGUACUUCCCCAACUGAAGCUCCUUUCUCUGUGAUAACCCCAGCCUGUGUCAAGUUGACACAUAAAACCAGCCAGUACAAGCUCUAUUGGGGUUCUCCAGUGUGACCUUUGUAGGUGGCAACCUUAUGCCUCAAUUUCAAAUUUCAAAAGGUUGACCAUACCUAAAUGACCUUAAAACUCUCCUUUCUUUCCCCAUCCUUCUGGUAAGCAUUCACCUGAAAUCAAGGAUGUUUCCCUUUCUCUUUCUUUAUAAGUGUGUGUGUGUGUGUGUGUGUGUGUGUGUCCCUGUAUGGGUUUGUGCACAUGAGUGCAAAGCCUUCAGAGUCCAGAAGAGGGCAUUGGAUCCUGGUGUGGGCACGGAGCUUCUUGUAAUCACUAGGACUGGGUAUAUUCAGCAUGCAGGGGUGUCUCCCCAAUGAAGGAAAUUAAAAAAACAAAAAAACAAAAAAACAUUUAUUUCAUCCAGAAAGCCAGGAGUGGGUUUUGUUAACAGCCUGAUAAACUCUUUGCUGUCUAUGGAGUAGCUCUCACCCAGUCCCCAGCAUGACUGUCCCAGACUCUCCUCCCUAGGCCAUUACCCAUCCUUAGGGGAGGUCACAUGUACUCUAUAGCCUUGUUGAGCUCUAUGCUGUGGGUCAGAGACCACACUAGAUUCUAGUCCUUUUAGCUAAGGAACCCACCCUCACAGUCACAUGUAGUCCGUAAAGGAGUUUCUAUGUAGUCACACCUUAAGCUUUAUUGAGUACCUGGAGUUGGUCUGAUUGGACCAAUUGUUGCCUGGAAACCUUUUCCCACAUCGUACUGUGUUUUAAAUAUGCUGACAAUGAGCUACCUGGUAUUAGAGUCCCCGAAGUCUGAUCCAGAUUGACUAAGUCAGUCUGCGCUGGGUUCUCACUCUUACCUCUUCGCCUCCCCACGUGAUCCCUCAGGGACCCUCUGAGGACCUCCUGGAGCUAGAGUUACAGGUAGCUGUGUAUCCCCUGAGGUCGGUGAUGGAGACUGAACUCAGGUCUUCUGACAGAGCCGGAAAUGCUCUUAAUCACAAUGACAUCUCUCUCCUUCCCCAGAGGUGGCUUUUAAAUUUGAUUUUCUUAAACAUUUCUUCCUUAAUUAGUACAUACUUAUAUUUUGAAUAUAUGUAAAAAGAGAGAAAAAAAAAGAAAGAAAAGAAAAGUUACCUAUAACCCAUAUGACUCUUUGGUGUGUUUCCUUCCAGAUUUUUUCUCUAUGUGAAUAUUCAUCUAUAAAUAUACUUUGGUAUGUAUUACCAUUUUCUCUUAGUAGCACAUUAGCAUUUCCCUAUUAAUACACAAUUAUAAAAUGGUUGUGCAGUGUUCCACUAGUCUUUCCUUUUGCUUUUUCUAUUUUUGGUUUGUUACUUGACAUUAUAAAUAAAGCAGUAGGGAGAGGCGUGAAAGUGAAUUUGGAGAGGGAAGAAGAAUAUUUUUCUCUCAGUUUUCAUGCUUUGAUUUUAAUUUUUUAUCGUUUAAGAAUGUAAUAGAUGCAUACAAUAUAUGCUGAUCAUAUCUAUCUGCCACUUCCCCUUCCAGAUCUCCCAGGACUCUCGAUACAUCCCAACUUCAAGACCUGUAUUGAUAGAUAUAGAUAUCUAGCUAUCCCACCGAGUGCUAUUUAGUGCUGUCUCCAUGCACAUAGAUGUAGGUCCAUCCAUUGGAGCACAGGCAACCUCCCAGUGGCCACACCCUCAAAGGAGAAAGACUCUCCAUCUCUCAGCAACCAUUGCUUCUCAGCUAGCAGCGGGGCCUCCUUAAGCCCAUCCUUUAUCCACAGUGGGAUUUUGACUGGUUUGGUCCUAACCACCACCAAUCAGGAGGAAAGCAGAAGUUAAAUUUGUGAUUUGGCUCCCAGCACCAGCCAAUUAGGCUAAAGGCCACAGUACCCCCCCCCCCCAUUAGAUUCUUGCUAGGCUAGAAACUCUCACCCUUCACUUGAUAUUUUCUUUAAAACCUUGCCCCAAUGUGUGUUUGGCGCUUUUCUCCACCCGAACGGGUCCUGUUAGUCAAGUCCCAAGCUCAACCUUGUGAAUAGAGACCCUCUUGUGAUUGUAUCCGAUCGGCUCCUGUCUGGUCUUUCAGGGUUCACGAAUGUUUUUCACUGGCAGGUCAAAACAGAGGGGUAUUCUAAGCAUACAGAUCGCAUAAUAUUGAGUGAAAAAGACUAGACUGUGGCUGAAUGUAGACACGGAGAAGGAAGACUUAAGGGUCAGACUGUGAAGUCCUUAUACGUUAAGGAUUCAGGUUACUAUUCCAAAGGCAAAGAUGACAGGUAAAGGUUUCUGCAGGGUGCUUCAAACUGAAUGAAGUUCACUAAGAUGACAGGGACACACUAAGAUGACAGGGACAGUGUGAUACAGGAGUCUCCAGUCUGCGGCACUUAGCUGAAUCCUGUCAGUUGCUUGGUUUUUGCUUGUAUGUUUGUCUGUUUCUUUCUUUCCUUUUCUUUUCUUUUCUUUUCUUUUCUUUUCUUUUCUUUUCUUCUCUUCUCUUUUCCUUUCGUUUUUUUUCCUUUCUUUCUUUCUUUCUUUCUUUCUUUCUUUCUUUCUUUCUUUUUUUUUUUUUUUUGCCGUGGGGGUGGAGGGAAGGUUUGAAAGAUACAACCCCAAAGACCCAAAUCCUGAAGGUUGAAAUUCUGAAAUCCUCAACUGUAAUUCUAAUUAGGGGACAGGGAAAGGCUGUUUAAGAGAGGUGUGCCGAUUUGGGGAAAUGGAUAAGUGAGUUUGGAAUUGUACAUGGGAUAAUUGUAUCCUUUCUGGUGCAAUAAAUACCUAGACACUUGCGGAGCAUCGCUUGGGAGUAUCAAUGAGAGAGUUCCCAGAGGUGCUCAGUGCCGGCUGCUGAGUAGAGAGGGCAGGAAAAGCGCAUGCUCAAUAUUGGCGGGCAUCUUCCAGUGCUGGAGCAGUCAGGAUCAGUUUUCCAAUCAUCUACAUCUGCUUUCCUGCUACUGUAGAUGAACUAAGUAGUCGAAGAGACUCCGUGUCCUUCAAAGCUUAAACCAUUUCAUACCUCAAUCUCUAUGGUGUACACAGCGUUUGGGGGCGGGGAGGCAAACAUGGAUGUGAGUCCUAUCCCCAACCCCCAGUUUCUGCCCUUCUUGUCUCAGGGACCAACCCGUACGCGUAUCACUCAAUGUCGUUCUCCAACUUCAGGUCUUUAGUCAACAAGAAUAGCCAGCUGAAGACAGAAGAGAAGUGAAGUUAAGGUGUAUUGAUCCACCCGAGUUCCUGGGCUCCAGUUCUCGCGAUCUCUAAUAAAAUAUUAUUUUGGGCGUAAGGGUGAUAAUGGUUUGCUAGUUCCUGUGUUCUUCAACAUUCCUUUAUGGCUCCCUUUGUCCAUGGCUUUGUAAAGUUUCUUCUAUUUAAAAACUGGUAUAUUUUCUGUUCCUAUCCAGAAAAAAACUGACCAAAGUCUAUGUUCAGUAUGAGGGCGUUGGGAAGGACGGGGAAGAGAGGUUUAACAGGGAAGGAUGAAAAGGAUACAUUUGAAAGAACAUAGGAGGUAAAAUGGUCCCGACUUGACCAUAGGUUGGGGAAAGCAAGGGGUGGAUAUUUUCAUUGCUCCUGUUUUGUGCGUUUUCUUCAGGGACAAUUGACAACAGGGAAGCUAUCGGGAUCAUUGUUGCUGCCCCCCACCCCCACCGCAGAUAUUUUGUUGUGGAAGAAUGACAAACAGGAUGCCUCUGGGGCAUGUUGAAUUACGCAGAGCCUUGGGAUGAUUCCACAGUGGAGUGGGUCAGUGACUGGUAGUUGUGUGAAUCUGGAACUUGGCGAAGACGUGGGCUGAGACGUCUCCUUCAACUGAAAGCUUCGCAGUUUGCUCUCAGGAAGAAGCACACACCAUCUGCUCUGAGGAUCUUCCGUUGACAGCCUGGCCGGGGUCAUGCUAGGAUUCAGAAAUUGCUGAGUGUGAAAGGGGCCUGAGGGAUGGGUCAGAAGAGGGCAUUGGCGGCAAGGAUCAAGAGUUUCCACGGAAUAAUCUCAACACAAGCAGUUCGGGCGAGGGUGGUGGAUUUUAGUACAACUCCUUGUCAGUCACACCUUGCCCUGCAGGCAGCCUCUGGGGACUUGCGUCAGACCCAUGGAGAAGCAGUAACAGUGAUCAAAUAUUAAAACUUCAUUAAAGUCUCUGUAAAAAGCCUA